rnacentral:lncRNA from 1 species
UAUAUAUUAGCGAAUCACUCCUUAAAAUCUCUUCGUAAUCUUCUAGAUUAAGUGCAUUGUAUGGAUUAGGCUCAUUGUAAGAAUUAGGUUCAUUGUAUUGUAAUUAGAUUGUGUAUUUGUACCGACUAUAAAUGUUAUAUUUGGAAAUGAAUGAAACAUAAAUCUUUUUCUACGUGGCAUCCUUUUUUAUGCUAAAUCAUAAAUAAAUCAUUUUCAGCUAGACACAAACAAAAGAGACUUGGUAUUUGCACUCCAAAAAUCUCAUUCUACACUCCUCAUAAGUGUAUUUUUCUUUCUAAUUAUAGAAAGUUUGGAAUGCGAAAUGAGAUUUUUGGAGUGCUAAUAAUAAUUCUCUUUUUUAAAUACAAAGAAUUUUACUAUUUUAAUUUACAUUAUAGGGAGGAGAGAAUUUGAACCGACAACACAGUAAACUAAAGAGAAAGAUCGUAACCACCAGCAUAAUUUAUCGUGUACGACCCAUUUUGAAAAUUUCAUUUUAAUUAGUUAAAAUUACGAAAAUAACCCUAACUAUGGAAGGGUUGACUUUUGUUGACCUUCGUCCGUGGUUAUGUUAGAAUUCUUCUUAUAUUUUAUUCUAGUAGUAUUCGUCGCUACGAAUGUGUAGGCAUGAUCAAAAUUGAAUUCGGAGUUAAAACGAAGAUUUUACGAAUUUUUAAAUGUAAGGGUAUUCCGGUAAUUUCAUAAGCGGAAAUUUUUCUCCACUUUUGGACCUCUACAUGGGUGACAUGUGGCACCCACUAUUUGGUGCCUUUUUCCUUCCCUUUCCCGUGACCUUUGGAACUCUUUCUCUCUCUAUCUCUCUCUCUAGGUGCUCUUCUCUUCGGCGAACCCAACACACACACACCCACACCUACAAGCAACAACCACCACACCAUCACCACUUCCCCCAUACGAUUUCUACAAGUUCAGAACGAGGAGAAACCCCCACUUGUCCUCUCCCCCGUUGCAUAGUACCUUCAUUGUGCAAAAAGUGAUUCCGACGAGUUUCCACCAUUUUCCGACAAGGUAAGGUCGAUAACUACUCCAAAUCUUCAUAGAUCAUGUCUAGAACUGUGUUUAGGUAGCUUUUGAGAAACCAUGUUAGUGUUUGGACACAUAACCCUCGGAGAAACACAUUUUUCCAAUUUUCCGAUGGAAAACAGUGGCUUGCAGGCCAUUUUCCGCCCGAUCUCGACGUCAACUCUACCCCAUCUUGGUACGACUCGGAUCCCUACUCUUUUAUCUUCUUUUUGGCUUUUGAAUUAUGAAUUUUGGUUGAGGUUUGACCUCAAAACGGAGUUGGGGAGAUUCCCUUCCGAAUCUUCUGCCUUCUCCUUCGUUGAUUCCGGUGGCCCAUGAAAUAAUUGGGCCAGUUUGACCUCUAGCCCAAAUGGGAGCCCAACCCAUUAGCCUUAAUCCAUUAGUCUUUUUAACCUAGGAUUAAACCUUUUGGCUUGACAGCCCAUUAGCCUAGGCCCGGCCUGUUUCCCUUAGCCCAUGGCCAAACCCUUGAAUCAGCCCACUAACCUUUGGGCCAGCCUAAUCACUGAGCCCCACCCAAACCCAAAAGCCCUAAAUCGGUCCAACCCACUAACCGUUAAAUCAGACCAAACUGGCGUUGACCCAAUCGAAUCAAAUCGUUGACCUGACCAGGUCGUUGAUCCGGCGACCGUUGACUGUAGACUUCGGGUUGCCUUUUCGGAUUUCAGAAUAAACCCCUCAUAGACUAAUUCUGACGUCUUGAUUACAAAUCUGCACUCCGUUUUCCCAAAUUCCAACAUUUUGGUAGAGUUUUAUUAAAUGUAACCUCUUUAUGUAUAGGUGCAUCAGUUGAAGGUGAUCCAGUCCAUCCUAGUUCGAGCGGCUCUCUGGUAAUGGAGUACUAGUGAGUGCCCUUCUAAACUUAUAUGUUUUCAUAAAUAUUAGCCUAGCAUGCAUUUCAUAUUUCAUGCAUUGAAUAUGUUUUAUAUUAUGCUUUUCGGAUUUCUAUGAUUAUGGAUUAUAUAAAAUUCAUGAUUUAAUUAAAUGGCUUUACUAAGUAUUAUGAUAUAUUGAAAUUAUGUUUUAUUAAAGGUUAUGAAGUAUUGUAUUUGCAUAUACAAAUUUCUAUGGAUUUGAAUAUGGGUAUUUCAUGGAUACAUGAUUAUGAUUUGUAUUAUGGAGUUAUGAGUUGACGCUUUGAGUUUGAUGAGCUCUGGAUUUGAUAUAAGAUUUAAGGUGUGUUUUCGAUACUUACCUAGUGGGUUAUCAUACAACACAUCCACACAACACGGGUAUAUAGAUGUCUAUGGCCAUAAGACACAGUUGAUGUUAUAUGAUAUAUAUAUAUAUAUAUAUAUAUAGCUCUUCUCUAGCGUAACCCAAAGUCGUACAACUUCACCUACGGGUGAUGGACCAUGCUUUCAUCAUUGGCAUAACCCAGUGUUGUACAACUUCACCUACAGGUGAUGGACAGGUAUUGCCUUCGGGCGAAUAAGGAGUAGAUGAUAUUGAUGAUAUACCCCCAACUUCACUUGCCUAGG